GUGUCAGCAGACAAAUGGGUGGGUCUCUGGAUAAACCCUCUAAGGAUAGCCCUUUGGAUUAUAUGUUAAGUAAAUGGCCUUUACCUGGUGUUCAGAAAGGUAUAUCAAGGAAGCACUUUGUACAACUUUGCACCCAGGACUGGCCAACCCUGGGGACUGCAUGGCCCGAAUUUGUCUCCUUUGAUAUUCCGACUUAUUUAACUCCUUUACACCUGAUAUUAGAGAAUCAAGCGCCUGGUCAAAUGGACUAUUGGUUUUUGUGGGACGAUGAGGCUCAUCGUCGUUUAAAGAAGAUAAAAAUCCAGACCCCUCUAUUCCCGAAAGCUUCUGCCCCAAGUGAAGCCGAUUGUUGGGAAGAUACCCUCCCCCAUGUAUUGUCCUAGACCGCGGCCACCCUCGGCAGAAAUAUCACAGGUUGUGGCGGACCAGGUUUCCUUGUCUACGGGGCCCAAGACAGUGGCCCCCCCACCGAAGACUGAGGCAACCACAAUUCAAGUUAAUGAAUCAACUAGUGGAGCGACGGGUAGUGGGUACACCUCUGUUCUGUCUACCGCCAUUAGUCCGUCUCGUACGAGACAGGGAGUAGUCUAUGGGGAGGAUGCGGUUAAAACCCAGGCACCCCUUCGGACCAUCCCGGUACCCACUACGGAUGGAGAGGGUGUAGACCAUUAUGUACAUGUCCCUUUUACUACAGCAGAUCUUAUGAACUGGCAAAACACUAUGCCUCGCCUCAGAGAUGACCCUGACGUCGUUCACAGGCGAUUCUGUGCUAUUUUUCAAUCUCAUAAUCCUGAUUGGCAAGACGUGGGCCAACUUUUAGAUUGCCUACUGCGCACGGAGGAGAAAGAGCGGGUCCUAAGGGGGGCCCGGGAGGCAGCAGAGGCUGCCGGUGACGGACGUGAUUUGAUAGCUCUCACUAACCCUACCCAAUGGAAUCCGAAUAAUUCAACCCACCAGGCAAACUUAAAGAAAUUCUUAACUCAUGUUUUGACAGGUGUAAAACAAGCAGGAGAAAGAACUCUAGAUUGGCCAAAAGUCCAUAAUACUGUGCAGGGGAAAGAAGAACACCCUUCUGACUUUUAUGAGAGACUUUGUAAAGCAUUUUGUACUUUUACUAAUAUAGAUCCCAAGGCUGCGGACACACAGUCCACGGUCAGGCUUGUUUUUAUCUCUCAGUCAGCUCCGGACAUUAAGCAGCGGUUGCAGCAGCUCGAAGGCGCUGAGGGAAAAUCCCUGGAGGAACUGGUAAGUGUAGCCACCCGUGUGUAUCACACAAGAGAUAAAAUUCAAGAGACCAAACAGGUGAGAAUGCUAGCAGCCCUUGUGAACGCGGGGAGCAAAAGACAAGGAGGGAGGUGGGGACCCCCGAAGUGGCAACCGAAGGCAGAUCGUGGGGGGCCCCAAGCCGUGCAAAUGAUGUAUGCCAUUACUGUAAGCAACUUGGUCACUGGAGGAGAGAGUGCCCAAACCGACGUACCGGACGACAGCCCCGACCUCGAUAUCAGAUAGAAGUGGAAAGAACAGACGCUGUCAAUAGUGAGGAAUGAUGGCGACCCGGGGGUCCACUUGUUACCUACUCAAAUGACUUUACCACUUAUGUUUGUUCCUCCACAGACCCCCAGGUCUGUUUAACUCUGGGAGAACCACUUAUUCUUGUCUUUUGGACUCGGGGGCUGCCCUUUCCACUGUUAUUGCCAAGCCAAAGGAAGGAAACCUCACAGAUAAAAGCAUUCCGAAUCAACUCCCCCAGCUAUGUGCCGCAUUAACCCAGGCUACCGAGGACCCGAUCCUGCCUGUGAGCCCGAUGAACCUGCCUGAAUGACUCAGACGAGAGGUACACGCCUCCCUAUGGGGCAUUUCCAAAACAAACCUUGGCACUCUCUGGACAGAGCCUGUGCAAAUAACCCUGACAUUCCUCGAAUCAGACAAUAUCCCAUCCCCCAAGAAGCUCUGCUUGGCCUCCGGAAUCUUAUCAACACAUUCCUACGGUUGGGAGUGCUUAUUCAUACUUCAUCCCCUUUCAACACUCCCAUUCUGCCUGUUAGAAAACCUGACCUGGAUCCAGAAUGAAAACCGGUAUACAGAUUUGUGCAGGACUUGCGUGCAGUGAGUAAAGUUGUUCAGGCUAGACACAAUGUGGUACCUAAUCCUCACACAAUUCUGACUGCCAUUCCAGCAGGUACUGCUUGUUAUUCAGUAAUAGAUCUGUGUAAUGCCUUUUUCAGUAUUCCUCUAGAUCAAGACAGCUGGGAUAUCUUCGCAUUUACAUGGACGGACCCAGAGACCGGGAGAGCAGAACAACUGACCUGGACUCGGCUACCACAGGGAUAUGUUCGAGUGUGAGAGCGUAACACUUGGAUUCAUUACACCCGAGUCAAGCUAGCCCCUAGGCCGGGGCCAGAAGCAGACGACUCCGGACCUCGAGGGAGCCCCGCCAGCUCUUCCCACCGCGACCCGGAAGAGCCUGAAGCAGACGAUACCUGGAAGGCUGAACCUCUCGAGGGACUAAAGCUCCUGUUCCGACGGAAUAAGCCCUGAGACUUUUACUGACUAUGAAUUUCUGGGCGGUGAGACAAUGGUUACUUGCUUUCAGUUUGCCCUUUGUACAUGCCAACCCCCACCCAGCGGUUGAAUCCUUGCAGCAACUGGCCCAGAAGUGGCUUUGCAAAAUAGACGUGUGUUAGAUGCCAUGAAAGCUCAAAUGGGGGGGGGGGGCUUGUGCUCGCAUUGGAGAAAAACGUUGCUUUUAUGUUAAUUACUCUGGCUUAAUUGAAAAGGAUUUACAAGCUAUUAAGAAUGCUGCUGUUGUAUUUCACGCUGUAUCUCUUGAUCACACCUUUAGUUUUGAGGACCUCCUCCCAGACCUUGGGUCUUGGUUCACUGGCCUUUUCCGUACAAUUAUUAAAUGGAUUGUUUUCUGUCUAUUCUUCCUAUGUGUUAGUUGGAUAAUGAUUCACUGUGCAAAAUGUCUGUGUAAUACUGUAACCAAACACUCUGCUCUCUGUAAGACAACCCAAUACCUGUCUCUUCAGCUUGAUCGUAAGUUACGUAACAGGCCUGACAAUCUGAGCUUAUCAGGCCCGAAGGGGGGACUGUGAAAUCUAUUUGGUACCCCCUCCCUGCCCUUUUAAUAGUUAUGCAAACGGCCAGCAGGUGGAGGCAGAAGCCUCCAAAAACCUCACGUACACAGUAUCCUGAACUUUCAAACUAGCUUUUUUUUCUACCACAAAGCAGAAAAAAUCUUGCUCCAAGCCAGUUUUCCCUGACCAGAUAACGGUUUCACGGGGUCCGGUAACCACCAAUGAAGUGUUAACACGGCAUGGUCUUUGUCUAAAUGUGUAUAAAAGAUCUGUAAACCUUGUGUCAGGCAGAGUCUUCUGUAUCUAUUACAGAGCUCUCCUUUCUUCUGCAGAAUAAAGAAUUUUUCCUUAUCCCUGUCAGGCUGUUAUUGGCUCUCAGCUAGGCAGACCCGAUAUUUCGGUAACAAUGUCGAUGUAUAUCUAGCCCCAUAGAAAAACAUCCGUCUAUCUAGUGUCUACCUGUCUACCUACUUUUCCAUAACUAAGCCAGGAGCUAGGCUAUUUAUAAGAAGUCAAUUAAAA